AUUUUUUUAUAUGUCGCAAGCUUACUCUGUUGAUGAGAGUUUCUCCAUGUUUAUGAAGAAAAGAUUUGGGUUCAGAGCACCUUCGGUUAUAAGAAUUAGUUUUCUAAUUCUUGCUGGUCAGUCACAAAGCAUUAAUUUUUGUUUGUUUUACAAUUUUUUCAGGAGCAAUGGGAAAUGAUGAGCUCCUGCUUCUUUUUAUGCCGCUUCAGGAGUGUAGGAAGCGGUUCCUCGCCGGUUGGACGUCGUUCAACCGCAACUCUGGCACCCACUGAGUACUGCCUCGGCUACAACCUCCCUCGGUGAGCUGCAUCUUCCUCCUGCUCCUCUGCUUCGGCUACUGUAUGGGACAUAGCUAGGGCUAUGAUGAUCGGUUAUGGCUGAUAUAAGCAUGCUCUCGAGCAAUCGAGGCACUUGUGGGUAUUAAGUUGGAUACCCCCUCCUUUCUUUGAGCCGUUUUGAUCAUGUUCUUAUUUUAGUGGCUCUGUCCUUGGAUGGUCAUUUCUGAUGAGUGAUAACCAGGGUAGUUUCACCCUUGUAAGAACAUCCAGAAACAUGAGAC
rnacentral:rRNA from 1 species